ensembl:lncRNA
GAUUUCCACAGGGUCUUGGCCAAUUUGUAUCACUCGUUUUUUCCAUUUGAAAACUCCGGGAAAAUCAUCGUUCUCCAGCCGAGGACAGAAUCCGGAAGUCCUCAAGUUCCUUUCUAUCGAAACAUUCCGACAGGAACUAUGUCAUUUGACCCACAUCGUAAAUGCUAUAUUUAUUCUAAUUAGAAUGGUUAAAAAGCCAGAUUUAGUCAUGGAUCUUUAGCUAUCGUACCUUGCUGCUUUAGUUUUUUUCCAACUUCAACAUAUAUUUGUCAGCGGCAAUAGGAACUCAUACUUGACAUGGUAUGCUGAGGUGGGGAGUCUGGGGACCUAUGCACUAUGGCAGAGUCACUUGCCAUCCAGGACCAUUCAACAGAAGCAGAACUAUGCACCAAUUUGCAACGAGUGCAAAGACAAUUUUAUUGAUGAAUGCCCCACACAUGGCCCUCCAGUAUUUGUGCCUGACACCCCUGUGCCAGUGGGUUGUCCUAAACCGUGCCGCCCUUACUAUCCCUAGUGGCAUUGAGGUCAUUCAGGAAGGCAGUGAGGUGGACGUGUACUGCGUAGACAAAGACAUUCCCAGGUGGGGCACUCUUCGGUCCUUACCAGGGGGAAGUGAUGUCACAGGACAAGUCCUCUGGCUUCUUCCCCUGGAUGUUGGUGGACAAAAACAACUCAUACAAAUCCAUUGA